CCUACGGGAGGCAGCAGUGGGGAAUAUUGCACAAUGGGGGAAACCCUGAUGCAGCGACGCCGCGUGAGUGAAGAAGCGUUUCGGCGCGUAAAGCUCUGUCAGCGGGGAAGAAACACGGUUCGCGAGAGCCGCGGACGGUACCCGACCAAGAAGCCCCGGCUAACUACGUGCCAGCAGCCGCGGUAAUACGUAGGGGGCAAGCGUUAUCCGGAUUUAUUGGGUUUAAAGGGUGCGCAGGCGGUCUGUUAAGUCAGCGGUAAAAUGUCCGGGCUCAACCCGGGCCGGCCGUUGAGACUGGGGAUCUUGAGUGGGCGAGAAGUAUGCGGAAUGCGUGGUGUAGCGGUGAAAUGCAUAGAUAUCACGCAGAACUCCGAUUGCGAAGGCAGCAUACCGGCGCCCGACUGACGCUGAGGCACGAAAGCGUGGGGAUCGAACAGGAUUAGAUACCCCAGUAGUC
rnacentral:rRNA from 1 species